rnacentral:rRNA from 1 species
UACGUAGGUGGCAAGCGUUGUCCGGAAUUACUGGGCGUAAAGAGCGCGCAGGCGGCUGGUCAAGUCCGAUGUGAAAGCUUCCGGCUUAACUGGGAAAUUGCAUCGGAAACUGAUCGGCUUGAAGGUGGGAGAGGGUAGUGGAAUUCCCGGUGUAGUGGUGAAAUGCGUAGAUAUCUGGAGGAACACCGGUGGCGAAGGCGGCAUCCUGGACCAAUACUGACGCUGAGGAGCGAAAAGCUAGGGGAGCAAACGGGG